UCUAAUAAGACUCCCCUUCAGUUCCUAUUUUUGUCUCCAAAGCCAAACGAACCCUUAAGGGUUCUCUACUAAGAUGAGAGAAAACCCUAGCGCUGCCCCCACCUUAUUUCGUCUCUGUUGCGUCAUCUUGUCGAUAAUGGCAAAGAUACAGAGGUACUGCACCUCUUUCAGGCUUGGUAUAGCCGCUUGGGGUAAAGCAUUUAAGCUAGCACCCUCUCUUCACCUGAUUCCAACCAAACAAGUUCCUGACAUUGGAUGUUGUAUUGAGAGAUGCAAUUCUGAGAAUUCCAAAACUCCGACAUCGAAUUGAAGCUAGGGUUUCGAGGAAUUGGGGUCUAUAAAUAGAACCCACAAAUCACAUUGUUUGACACUUUUACACCGAAUAUCACUUCCAUAUUCACAAAAAUUGAAAAUACCUAGGGUUUUAGCAUUUGCUUGAGACCUUUACUUUUUUUGGUUAGUUUAAGUUUAAAAUUUAUUCUUUAUUUUCUGGGUGUGUGGCUGAGUGUUGGAGUGGAAGAUUCAAGAUUCCAAUUCCAUUCUCGGUCAAGGUUGCACCAAGAAGAGGUUUUGUUACGGUUAGCAUUUCCCGGCCGAUGUUAGCGCUCAGAAAGCUACUUCGAACUUAUUGGUGCUCUUUCGGACAUUGUUUUAAAAGAAUCGCCACCUAAUUUUUAGGAAAUUAGGAAAACCAGUGGUGAAGGAUUUAUUCAGAUAUAGUGAAAAGGCCUUCGUAAUCCAAAGUUCUAGGUAAGGGUUCUGAUGAUCCCCUAGGGAAGGUGUUCGACACCCUAGUAUUAAGGAUCCGUACUAUACGGUUGACCUUCGAAUUCCAAUGUAUGAGUAUUUGCAUGAACUAUUUAUUUAGUGUUUAUUCCCGCAUUUAUAAAAUCUAUUAUUUGCAUAUC